rnacentral:rRNA from 1 species
AGAAUCAACGCUGGCGGCGUGCCUAACACAUGCAAGUCGAACGAGAAAGUGGAGCAAUCCACGAGUAAAGUGGCGCACGGGUGAGUAACACGUGACUACCUACCCUUGAGUGGGGGGAUAACCUAGGGAAACCUGGGCUAAUACCGCAUAACACCUACGGGUCAAAGGAGCAAUCCGCUUAAGGAGGGGGUCGCGGCCGAUUAGUUAGUUGGCGGGGUAAUGGCCCACCAAGACGAUGAUCGGUAUCC